AAGUUCUCCUUUAUGAGCCCCUCGUCUAACAACCGCAUUUGAUUACAGUAAGGCUCAGAGUUGAGGAACUUUUUUCAGGAUUACUGCCAGUUUCCUCCAGCACACACACACACACACACUGCUGGAUGCUGGAGCGUCUCUGUGAAAGCGGAGUGGGCUGAGACUAUAAUGAGAGCGGUAUGAAGGGAUGAUGUUGAAGACUGGCCGAGCCAGUCAGGGAUAAACAGUGGGGAGUUUCCUUCAGAUUCUACGAUCUGCUCUUCUGGUUUGUCUCUGUUCGGCAGUCCAAUCUGCUUUGAUCCUGGAGAAGCUAAAAGAGGCUAUAAAAAGGAGAAAAAAGCCAGUAUAAUGUCAUCAAGGAUUCCAGUGAAUUCUCGACAGUAUCUCAAAAUGUGCUCAAGAUACAUGUGUCUGCGGUCAAAUAGGAAGUUAAGUCCCUCUGGAAUCAGAUUAUUUGACUUGCAUGUUUUCUUUAACUCGACUGUAUGUUCACAAUUAUUUCAC
ensembl:lncRNA